rnacentral:rRNA from 1 species
UACAUGUGGGGCAAGCGUCGUUCGGAAUUACUGGGCAUAAAGGGUGCGUAGGCGGCUUGAUAAGUCAGUGGUGAAAUCGUCCGGCCCAACCGGACACGUGCCAAUGAUACUGUUGAGCUUGAGUGCGUGAGGGGUGGGGGGAACGAGCAGUGUAGCGGUGAAAUGCGUAGAUAUUGCUCGGAAGGCCAAAGCCGAAGGGACCCCACUGGUACGCAACUGACGCUGAGGCACGAAAGCGUGGGGAGCAAACAGG